UGGGGCCCAAAUGCAAACUGGAGUAGCCCAAGGAGGCUGAGGGAGCUUUCCUCCACCUCAGCCAUCUGCCCUCGACUAAGGAAGCUGCAGGCCUGAGUGGACUGCUCCCGGGAAGCCACUUUCAUGGCGUCCCCUCUCCAGGGUGCCCAUCUACCUGGAGCGUCAUCAUCGUCACUGCUGGAGUCAUGUCUCCUGUUGCCAAUCCAAGCUCUGGAGACACAAGUACCACAAGAAAGGUGUUACCCAGAGGCACUCGCCCAUCCUCCCUGCUGCACGGGAGGCCACACCAGCUGCCACAGCAACUCUCUGCUCCGUCCUCUGCUUUCUCAGAACUAACCUGGGCUCUCUGGAAUCAGAGACCUUCAACAAGUCACUGCUCACAUUUGCAAAUGUUCACAUCAAGAGAGGACCCCCUUUCCACGUGCCACUCCCCUCUCUUCCGGAUCAUCGCAGCUCUCCCCACCAGCCUUAUCAAUGUGGGGCUCCAACCCUACAGGUCAGUGAUUCACAAACAGGCACUGUCCCAGGUUGGAGCCACUGCCACGAGCCUGUUCUGCACAGACGGGAAUGUUCCCUCUGCCUUGUGAGCGCAGGGCUAUCGGGCACUGGAAAUAUGCCUGGUGUGAUGAGGUACUGGAGAUUACAUUUGAAAAUUAAUUUAAAAUACAGAUGCACCUGGUUAAUGACUGUGGCACCAGGGAGCCCAGAACUGGGAUUCAGAGAUGAGGGAGACGUCACCUCCCCGCCCCUGGGUUUUCU
rnacentral:lncRNA from 1 species